rnacentral:sRNA from 1 species
GAAAAAGGUGCAAGAGUUAAAGAUGUCCUACAUGGUUAUAAACGCCAAUAUCUAUUGGCAGCAAAGACAAGCAAAAUUUUAGCCUCCAUUGGAGAAUCCGCCAAGAGCCAACCUCAACCACAAGAGUUCAAAGACAAUUCGGUUGAAGUUCAGAAAAUAAAGAAAGAAGGUUUGGUUGAGUUAGAAAAUAAAGGCAAGAAUGGCAUAGGUUCGGUUAAUGCUAAGUGAAGAAGAAAGCAGAAAGAGUAAGCUCGGUUGAAUAGCCAUUGGUGUCUCGGAUUUGGAGGGUUCCUUGGAGUCGUGUUUAUGGUGGGUCAAGCCAUAAAAGUUAGAAAAAGAAGGAUGAGCUUGUUGGAAAUUUGGAUUAAGGUCUCGAACCAGAGGUUACUGUUGAAGUUAAUUAGCUCUUAAAGAUUCGGCUAAGAGAACCUGCCAAAGACUUGUAAUUAGCAUCGACAAGCUCACUAAAGGUUGAAUUAUUGCUGAGAAAUCCCACCAAUUGAGAUUGAUGAUUUUAUAAGUGAGAUACUUGAUAGUAGACCUACUAUCACACCAGGCUAUGUGACCUUUGUGCACAAAGGAGCUCUAACUCGGGGAUGCCUAUGGGCUUAUUAAUUCCAUAUGUGACAAAGACUACAGGAUUACAUACGUGAUGAGCUCUACUUAUUGCCAUCACCCUUGAUCAUGAUCAUGGUUACAUUGAUACGUGGUAAUACCACGAGUUUAAUGACAUGGCUGGGGCCACAGGUAAGUGUAGUUGGACAUACUUAUUAUGUGGGAGAAGGCCUGCGGGUUUAAAGUCUUACUCAAGAUUUGUUUGCUUUACCUAUUUUAAUAUUGACUAUGGCAUGGUAUUGAUUGCCAUAAAUCUGUUUAUUUCAUGGCAAGAGCUUAUUGUAUUUGAUUUGAUUAAAGUCUAAGUAUGUAUUUGAUUACGCAUUGAAACUGUUUUAUGCUUACCAGGAGAAAGGAAUGAAAUUGUGAUGUUUAGCAUGCUUUCAUUU